rnacentral:pre_miRNA from 1 species
CGGGGGAGGCGGGAUCCUGGGCUGUGUCCCGGCGCCCUGUGCUCCGGGGCCUGCGCUGGUGGAUUCGCGCUCCCGGGCCGCGCUACCCCCU